UGAAUCUUACUGUUCAAUCACCCACUUCCCACACGCAACAAUAGCUCAUGGGUACCACAGAAAACUUUGCCAAAGUUCUCUGCCAAAGUUGAGCACGUGAAGCUUGCAGCUCCCACUACAUCGCUUUGACCAAGAAGGGUAAAAGAAUAGCAAAGAAACAGCACUAACAAAGUUUAGACCCAUAAAUUUUGAAGGUCUAGCUACCAUAUUAUUACCCACAAGGGUAAAGGAACAGUACCACUGCUGGAUAAUUGGAAAGUCCUUGUGUGUCAACCUCUGUGCUUCGUGGCAAGGUAGACUUGCAAACAUGCCCAACCUUUACUCACAUUCGAGAAAACAUUCCCAAUAAGAUUGCUUGCUCCAAAAUCGAAGAGGCACCGUCCUCCGAAUCUCGAGAGCCAGACUCCCAACAUGACUACUUUCUUAAAAAUCGAAGAUAGGGUAAAGGAACAGUACCAUUGCUGGAUAAUUGGAAAGUCCCUGUGUGUCAACCUCUGUGCUUCGUGGCAAGGUAGACUAGCAAACAUGCCCAACCUUUACUCACAUUCGAGAAAACACUCCCAACAAGAUUGCUUGCUCCAAAAUCGAAGAGGCACCGCCCUCCGAAUCUCGAGAGCCAGAUUCCCAACAUGAUUACUUUCUCAAAAAUCGAAGAGACACUGCUCCCCGAAUCUUCGAGAGCCAGACCCCUUGCAUGAUUGCUUUCUCAAAAAUCGAUGAGGCAUCGUUCUCCGAAUCAAUCGAAGAGGCGCUCGCUUUCUCAAAAGCUGGGCUGCUCAGAGACCAUGAGGGCCGAUCUCAGAAAUCAAAGAGGCACCUACUUUUCUAGCCUUGUCAGCACCUGUCACACGCACACUCAGCUUUGCAGAAAUUAUGGGCAUUCUGUCGAAGACUUCUGGUGAAGUAGAAAGCACAUGAAUCUUACUGUUCAAUCACCCACUUCCCACACGCAACAAUAGCUCAUGGGUACCACAUAUAACUUUGCAAAAGUUCUCUGCCAAAGUUGAGCACGUGAAGCUUGCAGCUCCCAUUACAUCGCUCUGACCAAGAAAGGUAAAAGAAUAGCAAAGAAACAGCACUAACAAAGUUUAGACACAUAAAUUUUGAAGGUCUAGCUACCAUAUUAUUACCCACAAGGGUAAAGGAACAAUACCACUGCUGGAUAAUUG
rnacentral:lncRNA from 1 species